GAUGAACGCUGGCGGCGUGCCUAAUACAUGCAAGUCGAGCGAAGCGGGGACGGGUGAGUACCACGUGGAUAACCUCCUUUAAGACUGGGAUAACUUCGGGAAACCGGAGCCCAAUCGGAUACUUAGAGAUGGUUCCGCGCUGCAUUGGCUAGUGGGUAAGGGAACGGCUUACCAAGGCAACGAUGCAUAGCCGAACCGAAAGGGUGAUCGGCGACACUGGAACUGAGACACGGUCCAGACUCCUACGGGAGGCAGCAGUAGGGAAUGUGCGGCAAUGGGCGAAAGCCUGACAGAGCAACGCCGCGUGAGUGAAGAAGGUCUUCGGAUCGUAAAACUCUGUUAUUAGGGAAGCGGUACCUAUUCAGAAAGCCACGGCUAACUACGGGCCAGCAGCCGCGGUAAUUC
rnacentral:rRNA from 1 species